rnacentral:rRNA from 1 species
UACGAAGGGGGCUAGCGUUGUUCGGAAUUAUUGGGCGUAAAGCGCACGUAGGCGGCUAUCUAAGUCGGGGGUGAAAUCCUGGAGCUCAACUCCAGAACUGCCUUCGAUACUGGAAAGCUCGAGUCCGGGAGAGGUGAGUGGAACUGCGAGUGUAGAGGUGAAAUUCGUAGAUAUUCGCAAGAACACCAGUGGCGAAGGCGGCUCACUGGCCCGAUACUGACGCUGAGGUGCGAAAGCGUGGGGAGCAAACAGG